rnacentral:rRNA from 1 species
UACGGAGGGUGCGAGCGUUGUCCGGAAUCACUGGGCGUAAAGGGCGCGUAGGUGGCGCGGGCAGUCAACGGUGAAAGUUCGGGGCUCAACCCUGAAUCGGCCGUCGAUACUCCCGUGCUUGAGCACUGUAGAGGCAGAUGGAAUUCCGGGUGUAGCGGUGGAAUGCGUAGAGAUCCGGAAGAACACCGGUGGCGAAGGCGGUCUGCUGGGCAGUAGCUGACGCUGAGGCGCGACAGCGUGGGGAGCAAACAGG